rnacentral:rRNA from 1 species
AGUGAACGCUGGCGGUAGGCCUAACACAUGCAAGUCGAACGGCAGCACAGUAAGAGCUUGCUCUUACGGGUGGCGAGUGGCGGACGGGUGAGGCAUACAUCGGAAUCUCCUUUUUCGUGGGGGAUAACGUAGGGAAACUUACGCUAAUACCGCAUACGACCUACGGGUGAAAGCAGGGGAUCUUCGGACCUUGCGCGAUUGAAUGAGCCGAUGUCGGAUUAGCUAGUUGGCGGGGUAAAGGCCCACCAAGGCGACGAUCCGUAGCUGGUCUGAGAGGAUGAUCAGCCACACUGGAACUGAGACACGGUCCAGACUCCUACGGGAGGCAGCAGUGGGGAAUAAUGGACAAUGGGCGCAAGCCUGAUCCAGCCAUACCGCGUGGGUGAAGAAGGCCUUCGGGUUGUAAAGCCCUUUUGUUGGGAAAGAAAAGCAGCAGGUUAAUACCCCGCUGUUCUGACGGUACCCAAAGAAUAAGCACCGGCUAACUUCGUG